rnacentral:rRNA from 1 species
CUACGGGACGCUGCAGUGGGGAAUAUUGCACAAUGGGGGAAACCCUGAUGCAGCCAUGCCGCGUGUAUGAAGAAGACCUUCGGGUUGUAAAGUACUUUCAGCAGUGAGGAAGGUGGUGAGUUUAAUACGCUCAUCAUUUGACGUUAGCUGCAGAAGAAGCACCGGCUAACUCCGUGCCAGCAGCCGCGGUAAUACGGAGGGUGCGAGCGUUAAUCGGAAUUACUGGGCGUAAAGCGCAUGCAGGUGGUCUGUUAAGUCAGAUGUGAAAGCCCGGGGCUUAACCUCGGAAUCGCAUUUGAAACUGGCAGGCUAGAGUACUGUAGAGGGGGGUAGAAUUUCAGGUGUAGCGGUGAAAUGCGUAGAGAUCUGAAGGAAUACCGGUGGCGAAGGCGGCCCCCUGGACAGAUACUGACACUCAGAUGCGAAAGCGUGGGGAGCAAACAGGAUUAGAUACCCCUGUAGUC